rnacentral:lncRNA from 1 species
GUGAACGUGAGGUUGUCUAGGUUUCGCUAGUUAGGAUGACGACCACACGAGUUAAUCGUAUAGCCUUGAGAGGGGGAGGAGGAAAAGGCAUGGCCCAGAGGUCAGCGGGGGGAAGCCCUUGAGCUUGUGAGCGAGCAGGUUGCUGAAUAGGUCGGGUAGCUCCUGAGCGUUUAAGGACAACUCGAGAAAGAGAACAGUAAGGUAGUAGAUACGCAAAAAAACCGCAGGGGUGUUAUUUAUUCAAUAUAAAAAGGGAGAUAGAGUACAUAGCUUUAUAUUCUAAGGGUAGAAGUGUUGUAGAUGCUUGAUGUUCCAUGGAUUGGGGACGCUGGAGCCGUCAGCCCAUUGUAGUUGGUAGGUGCCUGGUUGGAUAACCUCUUUGACGAUGAAGGGGCCUUCCCAAGGGGUGGCCAAUUUUGUGCAUGUCUUUGGUGGACUGGACUCGGUGAAGCACCAAGUCACCAACGUUAAAGGAGAUUUCCUGACAUUGAGGUCAUGGUAACACCGUAUCUGCUGCUCAUGGUGCGCAUGCUGGAGAAGGCAGAGAAAAAUCAGCGGCAUACACUAUUUCAAACAAAGUGUGUU